rnacentral:rRNA from 1 species
AGAGUUUGGAUCCUGGCUCAGAGUGAACGCUGGCGGCAGGCCUAAUACAUGCAAGUCGAACGGCAGCACAGCAGAGCUUGCUCUGUGGGUGGCGAGUGGCGGACGGGUGAGGAGUACGUGGGAAUCUGCCCAGUCGUGGGGGAUAACGUAGGGAAACUUACGCUAAUACCGCAUGCGCCCUUCGGGGGAAAGCCGGGGAUCUUCGGACCUGGCGCGAUUGGAUGAGCCCACGUCGGAUUAGCUAGUUGGUGGGGUAAAGGCCCACCAAGGCGACGAUCCGUAGCUGGUCUGAGAGGAUGAUCAGCCACACUGGAACUGAGACACGGUCCAGACUCCUACGGGAGGCAGCAGUAGGGAAUAUUGGACAAUGGGCGCAAGCCUGAUCCAGCCAUGCCGCGUGUGUGAAGAAGGCCUUCGGGUUGUAAAGCACUUUUAUCCGGAAAGAAAAGCGCUGGGUUAAUACCCUGGUGUCCUGACGGUACCGGAAGAAUAAGCACCGGCUAACUUCGUGCCAGCAGCCGCGGUAAUACGAAGGGUGCAAGCGUUACUCGGAAUUACUGGGCGUAAAGCGUGCGUAGGUGGUUUGUUAAGUCUGAUGUGAAAGCCCUGGGCUCAACCUGGGAAUUGCAUUGGAUACUGGCAGGCUAGAGUGCGGUAGAGGGUAGUGGAAAUUCCCGGUGUACAGUGAAAUGCGUAAGA